UUCUCUUUCCUUCUCAAACCAUUUGUCCUCUGAUGCAACAGUUCCCCUGAUGCAAACUUGGGGCAAGUGUAGAGCUUUUGGUAAGGGAAUCUGGCAUCUGCAUGGGCCACAGGCACCCAGGCAGAAUAACACCCCACAACUGCUGAGAGGUGGGAGCAGCCCUGAGCCAAGCUGUGGGAAGGAGCAUUGCCUUUUAGGCUAAGAGUGAAGUACUUAUGGUCCCAGCAGCUGCUGGCAGCUCCUGGGAGUUCCCAUCUUAACUUCAUCGAGAAAGAAACAGAACUGGAGUAUCAGGCAGCCUCAGCUGUUCGUUUGGGGGAACAGGAGGAGGAGGGAAGGCCACCACGUCCCAGGAUCCAAGAGGAGGAUCAGACCACCAUUUGGGGAGCUUCCCAGGGUCUUCAAAGGCAUAGUCUAGUUCAAGACCCCUGAAGUCUCUUACCUUUGGAGUCCAACAUCAUCCACAGUCACAUGACACCGGACACUUGGUCAAUGACAGACUCCACACAGACCAUCCACAGUGUGACGCCGCUGUUCCACUAUGUCUUUUCUGUGACAGAUACACAUGUUCUCUUCACUGUGUCCCAGCUGCCUACAGCAGUGAGCACGGUGCCAUGCUGUACAGGUGUGGCCCGCUGUGCUGUGAGCUUCUGACAUGUGGGGAGUCACUGACCAUACACUGUGUGUAGCCCAUCAAGUGACAAAUGAGUGUACUUCUCUGAGGUUAUAAUAGAACCUCUUGUUUAAAAAAAGCUUUUUCAAGUUAAUGCACAAAGGUGAUCAUUCUAGCACCUAAGUGCAUCUGGGGAAUCACCGAAAAUGUGCCUAGAUGCUGUGCCACCUGCUUGCUGCAGGCUUCCCCGCAGCCUCAGGCUCCCGGCUGUCAGUGCCAUGCUCACUGCCAGGGUCCCCGUCACGCUCCGCCUUUGUAUUCCUCAGAAGAUGCUUAAUAAAUGCUUGCUUACUUGGA